GUCGGACGGCAGCAGCCCCGGGUAACCGGGGGCUGGCGAGUGGCGCACGGGUGCGUAACGCGUAUGCAACCUACCUUUUACAGGGGGAUAGCCCGGGGAAACCCGGAUUAAUACCCCAUGCCACCUUUCCCCCGCCUGGGGGGCAGGUGAAAGAUUUAUCGGUAAAAGAUGGGCAUGCGUCCCAUUAGCUGGUUGGUGGUGUAACGGACCACCAAGGCAAUGAUGGGUAGGGGGUCUGAGAGGAUGGUCCCCCACACUGGCACUGAGAUACGGGCCAGACUCCUACGGGAGGCAGCAGUAGGGAAUAUUGGUCAAUGGGCGGGAGCCUGAACCAGCCAUGCCGCGUGCAGGAAGACGGCCUUCUGGGUUGUAAACUGCUUUUUUCAGGGAAGAAAAGACCCAUGCGUGGGGCAUUGACGGUACCUGAAGAAUAAGCCCCGGCCAACUACGUGCCAGCAGCCGCGGUAAUACGUAGGGGGCGAGCGUUGUCCGGAAUUAUUGGGCGUAAAGAGCUCGUAGGCGGUCCGUCGAGUCGGAUGUGAAAUCUCACAGCUUAACUGUGAAAUUGCAUCUGAUACUGGCGGACUUGAGGCAGGUAGGGGAAGGUGGAAUUCCUGGUGUAGCGGUGAAAUGCGCAGAUAUCAGGAGGAACACCGGUGGCGAAGGCGGCCUUCUGGGCCUGUUCUGACGCUGAGGAGCGAACGCGUGGGGAGCGAACAGGAUUAGAUACCCUGGUAGUCCACGCCGUAAACGAUGGAUGCUAGGUGUGGGGAGUUAUCCACUCUUUCCGUGCCGCAGCUAACGCAGUAAGCAUCCCGCCUGGGGAUUACGACCGCAAGGUUAAAACUCAAAGGAAUUGACGGGGGCCCGCACAAGCGGCGGAGCAUGUGGCUUAAUUCGACGCAACGCGAAGAACUUACCAGGCCUUGAAAUAUGCACUAAAGCGCAAAGAUGUGUGUCUUCGGGGCGUUUAACGGUGGUGCAUGGUGUCGUCAGCUCGUGCCGUGAGGUGGUGGUAUUCCCGCACGAGGGCCAACCUUGCCCAUGGUGCCC
rnacentral:rRNA from 1 species